rnacentral:rRNA from 1 species
AGAGUUUGAUCAUGGCUCAGAUUGAACGCUGGCGGCAGGCCUAACACAUGCAAGUCGAACGGUAACAGGAAGAAGCUUGCUUCUUUGCUGACGAGUGGCGGACGGGUGAGUAAUGUCUGGGAAACUGCCUGAUGGAGGGGGAUAACUACUGGAAACGGUAAGCUAAUACCGCAUAACGUCGCAAGACCAAAGAGGGGGACCUUCGGGCCUCUUGCCAUCGGAUGUGCCCAGAUGGGAUUAGCUAGUAGGUGGGGUAACGGCUCACCUAGGCGACGAUCCCUAGCUGGUCUGAGAGGAUGACCAGCCACACUGGAACUGAGACACGGUCCAGACUCCUACGGGAGGCAGCAGUGGGGAAUAUUGCACAAUGGGCGCAAGCCUGAUGCAGCCAUGGCCGCGUGUAUGAAGAAGGCCUUCGGGUUGUAAAGUACUUUCAGCGGGGAGGAAGGGAGUAAAGUUAAUACCUUUGCUCAUUGACGUUACCCGCAGAAGAAGCACCGGCUAACUCCGUGCCAGCAGCCGCGGUAAUACGGAGGGUGCAAGCGUUAAUCGGAAUUACUGGGCGUAAAGCGCACGCAGGCGGUUUGUUAAGUCAGAUGUGAAAUCCCCGGGCUCAACCUGGGAACUGCAUCUGAUACUGGCAAGCUUGAGUCUCGUAGAGGGGGGUAGAAUUCCAGGUGUAGCGGUGAAAUGCGUAGAGAUCUGGAGGAAUACGGUGGCGAAGGCGGCCCCCUGGACGAAGACUGACGCUCAGGUGCGAAAGCGUGGGGGAGCAAACAGGAUUAGAUACCCUGGUAGUCCACGCCGUAAACGAUGUCGACUUGGAGGUUGUGCCCUUGAGGCGUGGCUUCCGGAAGCUAACGCGUUAAGUCGACCGCCUGGGGAGUACGGCCGCAAGGUUAAAACUCAAAUGAAUUGACGGGGGCCCGCACAAGCGGUGGAGCAUGUGGUUUAAUUCGAUGCAACGCGAAGAACCUUUACCUGGUCUUGACAUCCACGGAAGUUUUCAGAGAUGAGAAUGUGCCUUCGGGAACCGUGAGACAGGUGCUGCAUGGCUGUCGUCAGCUCGUGUUGUGAAAUGUUGGGUUAAGUCCCGCAACGAGCGCAACCCUUAUCCUUUGUUGCCAGCGGUCCGGCCGGGAACUCAAAGGAGACUGCCAGUGAUAAACUGGGAGGAAGGUGGGGAUGACGUCAAGUCAUCAUGGCCCUUACGACCAGGGCUACACACGUGCUACAAUGGCGCAUACAAAGAGAAGCGACCUCGCGAGAGCAAGCGGACCUCAUAAAGUGCGUCGUAGUCCGGAUUGGAGUCUGCAACUCGACUCCAUGAAGUCGGAAUCGCUAGUAAUCGUGGAUCAGAAUGCCACGGUGAAUACGUUCCCGGGCCUUGUACACACCGCCCGUCACACCAUGGGAGUGGGUUGCAAAAGAAGUAGGUAGCUUAACCUUCGGGAGGGCGCUUACCACUUUGUGAUUCAUGACUGGGGUGAAGUCGUAACAAGGUAACCGUAGGGGAACCUGCGGUUGGAUCACCU